AGUGAACGCUGGCGGUAGGCCUAACACAUGCAAGUCGAACGGCAGCACAGUAAGAGCUUGCUCUUACGGGUGGCGAGUGGCGGACGGGUGAGGAAUACAUCGGAAUCUACUUUUUCGUGGGGGAUAACGUAGGGAAACUUACGCUAAUACCGCAUACGACCUACGGGUGAAAGCAGGGGAUCUUCGGACCUUGCGCGAUUGAAUGAGCCGAUGUCGGAUUAGCUAGUUGGCGGGGUAAAGGCCCACCAAGGCGACGAUCCGUAGCUGGUCUGAGAGGAUGAUCAGCCACACUGGAACUGAGACACGGUCCAGACUCCUACGGGAGGCAGCAGUGGGGAAUAUUGGACAAUGGGCGCAAGCCUGAUCCAGCCAUACCGCGUGGGUGAAGAAGGCCUUCGGGUUGUAGAGCCUUUUUGUUGGGAAAGAAAAGCAGCAGGUUAAUACCCCGCUGUUCUGACGGUACCCAAAGAAUAAGCACCGGCUAACUUCGUG
rnacentral:rRNA from 1 species